AGAGUUUGAUCAUGGCUCAGGAUGAACGCUGGCGGCGUGCUUAACACAUGCAAGUCGAACGGAGUUUUAACGGAAGUUUCGGAUGGAAGUUUAGAAACUUAGUGGCGGACGGGUGAGUAACGCGUGGGUAACCUGCCUCAUACAGGGGGAUAACAGUUAGAAAUGACUGCUAACACCGCAUAAUAUAGCGAAACCGCAUGAUUUUGCUAUCAAAUAUUUAUAGGUAUGAGAUGGGCCCGCGUCUGAUUAGCUAGUUGGUGGGGUAAAAGCCUACCAAGGCGACGAUCAGUAGCCGGCUUGAGAGAGUGACCGGCCACAUUGGGACUGAGACACGGCCCAAACUCCUACGGGAGGCAGCAGUGGGGAAUAUUGGACAAUGGGGGAAACCCUGAUCCAGCGACGCCCGCGUGAGUGAAGAAGUAUUUCGGUAUGUAAAGCUCUAUCAGCAGGGAAGAUAAUGACAGUACCUGACUAAGAAGCCCCGGCUAACUACGUGCCAGCAGCAGC
rnacentral:rRNA from 1 species